AACGCGAAGAACCUUACCUGGGCUCGAACGGCUUCUCAACGCCGGUAGAAAUACCGGUACCCCGCAAGGGGGUGGAGUCGAGGUGCUGCAUGGCUGUCGUCAGCUCGUGUCGUGAGAUGUUGGGUUAAGUCCCGCAACGAGCGCAACCCUUGUCCUGUGUUGCCAUCAUUCAGUUGGGAACUCGCAGGAGACCGCCAGCGAUAAGCUGGAGGAAGGUGGGGAUGACGUCAAGUCCUCAUGGCCUUUAUGUCCAGGGCUACACACGUGCUACAAUGGACGGUACAAACCGCAGCAAACCCGCGAGGGGGAGCUAAUCGGAAAAAGCCAUCCUCAGUUCGGAUUGGAGUCUGCAACUCGACUCCAUGAAGCUGGAAUCGCUAGUAAUCGCGGAUCAGCACGCCGCGGUGAAUACGUUCCCGGGUCUUGUACACACGC
rnacentral:rRNA from 1 species